GAUGUUUUUUAUUAAAAAGAAAUUAAAUUACAUAAUCGUUAAACAUUCGAAGUUUUAAUAAGAAAAAAAAAUAGUUUAAUCAACACUCGUCUGAAAGCGAGUCUUCUGAAUCAGAAUCAGAAAUAUCUGAUCCGAAUGCAGACGGUAUUGUGGACUUUGAAGUAGAAGCCAUCUGCGUCAUGUCGAGUCCAGAAGUUUUCAAAGUCUUAUUCAGUUUCUUCAUAUAUGAUUUCAUAGCAUUGAACUUCUUCUUGUAUUUGGAGACGUCUUUUUGACUCUCGUUACAUUUGUUCUGAAAAUGAAAACAAAAAUGAGUUCGGUAAUCAACAAAAUUAUUGAAAUAUAUUGUAAAUACCUUCAAUGCUUUGAAUUUUUCCGACCAAACUGCAUCUGGUGUUGAAUCAAUAGUCGUGUUAAAUUAAACUAAAUUAAUAAUUAUUUAACUAAAUUAAAAAGAUUUUUCAAAUCUCACCAAAACGGACAAUCGAGGCGACAUAAUCAAGGCAGGACGGAGGCGGUGGCUACUGGAGGCGACCUCGGAACCGGCGUCGGCGAAGAAACAACGAGAGGCAGUCGGCGGAAACGGCUAUUAUUGAAAUUAAAUCAUUGAAAUUAAAACAAAAUGAAAUUCUUAACAUAUCAUUGAAAUUCUUAUGAAAUCAUUGAAAUUCUUAACAUAUCAAAAAAAAUCCAUGUUUGUAAUAGAAGAUCGAAGAUUCGGAAGAAUCAAAGCAUAUUUCAAAUCAAAUCCCAAUGAAGUUAACUUGAAGUGGUAUUUAAGCAAUGAAGGUCAUCGGGGAAUAGAGAGGAACAAUUGGAAUACGACGAGUGUGUAGGAGUAUAAGGGUUCAAUUACACUCAAAAUUCUAUUACAAACAUGGAUUCUUAAUUAACAUAUCAUCAUUCACAGUAACAUAUAUAGAAACACAAACCAUAAACGCAUAUAGACUAAGAGAUCAUUCACAGUAAUAUAGUAUUUUCUAAUUAGAUUAAGAGAUUAAGAGAUUAUCAUUUACAUAGAUUAAGAGAUCAUCAUUCAAUACACAAAACACAAAAAAUAGACAAAACACAAAUCAAAUCAAAACCCAAAUCAAAACAAUAAACAAUCACAAAAUAAAAAAAUUAACAAAACCCAAAUAUAAAAACCCAUUUACAACCAUUAUCAAAAUGAUACCUUCAAAGAUAAACGGCGAGGAUGCGGCGGGAUGCGGCGACGGCGAGGAACGACGGCGAGGAACAACCGACGGCGAGGAACGACGACGACGGGGGCAGCAGGGAGGCAGCGGCGGCGAUUUCUUCAAUUUCAGACAGAACAGCCGCGUUC
rnacentral:lncRNA from 1 species